rnacentral:lncRNA from 1 species
UAGAAGUCCCAACAUUGCUUAUAUAUCAUGAUUGUGCAGCCGAGGCACAUUGACCCUAGUAGACAGGGUAUCCUCUUGUGAGGAUUGGAUCAUACUCACUAGUCUAUUUUUGCUUGUCGGUGGUCGCUCCACCGAGGCACGAGUCUCCGGAGUACUUCACUAGGGGCAGACGUAGUUGUCCCGCAGACGGUCUCGGUGUGCGAGUGCAGUUUCUCCUCACCUAUGAGAUUGAGAGUGAGUCGAGGGUUCAACCUUCGGGUUAACCAAGUGAAUUGGGUAAGAAACAUGAAAUGCAUAGUAGACUUGCAUUAUUACCUUGAGUAGAC